rnacentral:rRNA from 1 species
UAGCUAGUUGGUGAGGUAAAGGCUUACCAAGGCGACGAUCUGUAGCGGGUCUGAGAGGAUGAUCCGCCACACUGGAACUGAGACACGGUCCAGACUCCUACGGGAGGCAGCAGUGGGGAAUUUUGGACAAUGGGGGCAACCCUGAUCCAGCCAUGCCGCGUGAGUGAAGAAGGCCUUCGGGUUGUAAAGCUCUUUCGGCCGGGAAGAAAUCGCAUGGGCCAAUACCCUGUGUGGAUGACGGUACCGGAAUAAGAAGCACCGGCUAACUACGUGCCAGCAGCCGCGGUAAUACGUAGGGUGCGAGCGUUAAUCGGAAUUACUGGGCGUAAAGCGUGCGCAGGCGGUUUUGUAAGACAGGCGUGAAAUCCCCGGGCUUAACCUGGGAACUGCGUUUGUGACUGCAAGGCUAGAGUACGGCAGAGGGGGGUGGAAUUCCACGUGUAGCAGUGAAAUGCGUAGAGAUGUGGAGGAACACCAAUGGCGAAGGCAGCCCCCUGGGUCGAUACUGACGCUCAUGCACGAAAGCGUGGGUAGCAAACAGGAUUAGAUACCCUGGUAGUCCACGCCCUAAACUAUGUCAACUAGGUGUUGGGUGGGUAAAACCAUUUAGUACCGUAGCUAACGCGUGAAGUUGACCGCCUGGGGAGUACGGCCGCAAGGUUAAAACUCAAAGGAAUUGACGGGGACCCGCACAAGCGGUGGAUGAUGUGGAUUAAUUCGAUGCAACGCGAAAAACCUUACCUACCCUUGACAUGCCAGGAACUUGCCAGAGAUGGCUUGGUGCCCGAAAGGGAGCCUGGACACAGGUGCUGCAUGGCUGUCGUCAGCUCGUGUCGUGAGAUGUUGGGUUAAGUCCCGCAACGAGUGCAACCCUUGUCGUUAAUUGCCAUCAUUUAGUUGGGCACUUUAACGAGACUGCCGGUGACAAACCGGAGGAAGGUGGGGAUGACGUCAAGUCCUCAUGGCCCUUAUGGGUAGGGCUUCACACGUCAUACAAUGGUCGGUACAAAGGGUUGCCAAGCCGCGAGGCGGAGCCAAUCCCAGAAAGCCGAUCGUAGUCCGGAUUGCAGGCUGCAACUCGCCUGCAUGAAGUCGGAAUCGCUAGUAAUCGUGGAUCAGCAUGUCACGGUGAAUACGUUCCCGGGUCUUGUACACACCGCCCGUCACACCAUGGGAGCGGGUUCCGCCAGAAGUAGGUAGCCUAACCGCAAGGGGGGCGCUUACCACGGCGGGGUUCGUGACUGGGGUGAAGUCGUAACAAGGUAGCCGUAGGGGAACCUGCGGCUG